GUCCAUGGUGGACGCGUAUUAUUGGGCUGUACAUUCCUGGGUUGAGCAUUCUCGGGCCGCGCAAUAUUGGUCCGGGGCGAUAAUACGAAGCCACUCUUUUCACAGGGCAAUAAUGUACGACCCCAUAAUUCGCGUCCAAUAAUUUGAGUCCCUUGGCUUUCAAUUAUUGGGCUGCGCAUUAUUGGUACAGGUCGAGAAAGCCCGACCCAAUAAUGUACGACCCAAUAAUAGGAAGCCAAAAACCAGAGAGAUUCUUUUUUUUAAGGGAGCUGUCAAAAUUAGUAGGGACGUUCUGACAUUAGCUCUUGACAAUUUAAAAAUAAUCGGUUUUUUCUAGUGCCAUCUUUCAGUGACAUUGACAGUAUUGUAUUGACACUUGUUGGUUUACAAAUACAAUAAAAUGAAUUCUAAUAAAAGAAACAGUAGACUCAGUAGAGGUACGAGGUACUGAAAAAAUAUUAAUUAAUGGAGAAGCCGAAGUUGGAGGAAAACAAGAAGAUUGGAGGAGAAUGGUGUGGCACUUAAUGCCGCCGGGACAGUAACCUAGCUGCAGCUCCAACUCUAGGGAAUUGGGCUGAAUGAACGCAACACGUGAUCGACAGCCCACCUGCUUCCUGCCGAGCGUCCCUACACUACAUCUACAUGGAUUCGCUUAUUCUGCUCUACAAAACUUCUGAGCUGAUACAAGCAGCCAGAAUGAGUCUCUGCUGAGUCGCCGGCGCCGGACGUGCGUCGCGCGCCUCGGGCGACUGACGUCUUCGUGUGAGUCGCCAAUUGCAGGGGAAGAUACGAAUAGUGUUUGUAUUGACUGAAAUACAAGUAGCAUAUAUGAGACGUUCGGACGUAUCCGUGAAAAUACGAAGGUAAAGGAAAUUGCACUACAUUUUUAGAACCUAUUCACCUGUCAGUAAAAUAUUGAAAAGGAAAGUUCAUGAGUUUUAUUAUUUUCUUUCCUCCAACAGCUUCACAUGGAGCAAAUGUAAACCUUUUAUGUUAAUAAUAUCAGUACCUAAUGUCAAGGUA